ACACUAUCAAACGAAGCAUAAACGAGAUCUUUUUGACAUAGACUUGUAAUCGAAUGCAAUGCGAUACCAAACCAAUAAAACAUGAUAAUUGACUCCAAAGCAACUGAAAACAAACAUAAAUCUUAUCAAAGUGAUGAAAAUAUGUCGGAUUAACGGCGGGAAUUCAAUGGAAAUGGUGACCGAUCAAUGUUGUAACAAUUUUCACA
rnacentral:lncRNA from 1 species